UACGUAGGGGGCAAGCGUUGUCCGGAUUCAUUGGGCGUAAAGAGCGUGUAGGCGGCCAGGUAGGUCGGUUGUGAAAACUGGAGGCUCAACCUUCAGAGGUCGACCGAAACCAUCUGGCUAGAGUCCGGGAGAGGGAAGUGGAAUUUCCGGUGUAGCGGUGAAAUGCGUAGAUAUCGGAAGGAACAUCAGUGGCGAAAGCGACUUCCUGGACCAAUACUGACGCUCAUGUGCGAAAGCGUGGGGAGCAAACAGG
rnacentral:rRNA from 1 species